CAUUAUCGAAUAAACUUGAUCAGGUUGUUGCUGGCCUUUUCGAAGGCAUGUGCACGCUUGUCAUCUUUAUUUCUCCAACUGUGCACAUGUUGUAGACCAUGGAUGUCGUUGCUUAAUAGCAGAUUUGAGAAGUGCUUUAGCUUUCUCUUAUGAGGUCUAUGUUAUCCAUCUUUUACACACUGUUUUAGAAUGUUUAUUAUGGGAAAAAUACAAAUGUACAACUUUCAGCAACGGAUCUCUUGGUUCUCGCAUCGAUGAAGAACGCAGCGAAAUGCGAUAAGUAAUGUGAAUUGCAGAAUUCAGUGAAUCAUCGAAUCUUUGAACGCAACUUGCGCUCCUUGGUAUUCUGAGGAGCAUGCCUGUUUGAGUGUCAUUAAACUUCUUCUCAACCCAUCCAGUUUCAUCUGUGCGUGGGCUUUUGGAUGUUGGGGGCUUGCUGGUUUCCAUUUUCCCAGCUCUCCUGAAAAGCAUUAGCGGCAUCUGGGCUGCUUGCAGGUGUGAUAACUUGUCUACACCUUUGCAGCGGCUGCAUCUGUGCUGCUCUUAUUAGUGGGCAUUGAUGAAAUUUUACCUCAAAUCAGGUAGGACUACCC
rnacentral:rRNA from 1 species